UUUUACAUAUUCUCUAUUCAAGAAAUAUUAAUCUUGUAAUAGUUAUAUAAUAAAACUAACACUUUCAUCAAAAACAUUAAAAACACUAAAAAGUAAUAUAUUCUAAAAUUUAUUUUGGCUUAAGCUAAUCAUUAUAACCUGUUUUAAUUAACUAGCGAUAUUUUAUAAAAAUUUAAUGUCUACAUAAAAUAAAUUUAACAAAAAAAUCAAUAGUUUUAAUAAUAAAAAAAGGGAAAACUAUCUUUUGUCCUAAGCAAGAGUAACUAAGAAAACAUAUUUUUUGUUACAUGUGCGUCGAAAGUGAUUCUUUUCGCUCUCUAACGACCAUAAAGUCACCGUUUACCUACAACCCAGUUAUUCCAUGCAGUAAAUCAUUAUUUCACUGUUUUCGUGCCUCCAAUAGAUGGUAUGACAAAAGUAUUCCUCCCACUAACUUUACAGCACGAUCACCUAAUUUAACGGCUAAACGGUCACGGUCAGCUAACUUUACAUCUAGUUAUAUUAUUUACUCUCAUACGCGCCACGUCGCGAUACGUAUACUGUAAUUUUUGCAGGAUUAACGAUGCUUUCACGAACCUAAUCUUGGCUAACCUAUCAAUUUACACUCAAGGACUGCAUUUCGACAUACAAGCAACAAAAAAUAUUGUGUAUAACAUGUGCGGAUUAGUUAUUUCCUGAAAUGUUCGAUCGAAGUGCAAUCCAUUUUGCCGUCACAUAGUCUAGUUCCAUCUCUAAUUCGAUAUCGAGUGACAACGUGUAGGAAAGUCGACAAGACGAAUAGUGUGUCUUCUCGCCAAGCCUUUCUAAUAGGACACAUCAAUAUCGAUGUUAAACACGGAGAGAAAUAAACUGUGCUAAACAAUUUAAGAAUAUUCUGCUGGUAAAAUCGAUUGAAAGAGAACUCGAACACGAACGCAAUUUCAUCGGACGCGACAACAACGUUUCUCCUUGAAAUCAUCGCCCGAGGUUCAAUCGUUUGUCAAUCGAUCUCUGUAAAUAAGUAAUGUAGAGUUGCCGAAAAUAUUCACAAUUAACUAUAAAUUUUAUAUACACUAUCAACAAAAUUUGUUACAAUUAUUAGAGAUAUAUAUUUUUAUGAUCUUGUUUGGAGUGUUAAUUAUGUUAAUCUAUAUUUAAACUAAUAAAAAUGUAUUUUAGCAAGUAGAUCUGUUAUUACAUAACUUUAUUUUUAUAUCAAAUUUUUUUUUAAUAUAAUAUUUAUUAAAAUCGUGAUCAACAUAAAAUCAAAUGGUUCUGAUUAAAUCGUCAGAUACUUAAAAACUAAAAACACAGCGAACAUUUAGCUUUAAUAAUUUUGCUCAUUAUUUAUCUCUAUAUAAAUAACAAAUUUCUCAAAAACUCAAACUUUUAAAGAAAAUUUUAAGUAAAUUUUUAAGACAUAUAUAAGCAAUGUCAUUUUUAGACAAAAGAACUGACAAUCACUUUCUAUUUUUCUAAUUUGCUUAAUAAAUUUUCGAUUUUAUUAAAUACGCACUAUU